GGGGGUGACAGGUGACAGAGUGAGGAAAGGGGUGACUAGUGGCAGAGUGAGGAAAGGAAGGGGUUACUAGUGACAGAGUGAGGGGAUGACUGGUGACCAGUGACAGAGGGAGGGGGUGACACAGUGACAGAGUGAGGGAGGUGGUGACUGUCAAUAGUCACCCCAUCCCGCCCUCUGUCACUAAUCACCACCUCCCUCUGUCACUGGUCACCAGUCAUCCCCUCACUCUGUCACUAGUAACCCCUUCCUUUCCUCACUCUGCCACCUGUCACCCCCUCACUCUGUCACUAAUCACCCCCC